rnacentral:rRNA from 1 species
GGACUACUGGGGUAUCUAAUCCUGUUUGCUACCCACGCUUUCGUGUCUCAGCGUCAGUGAUGGUCCAGCAGGCUGUCUACACCACAGGUGUUCCUCCUGAUAUCUACGCAUUUCACCGCUACACCAGGAAUUCCGCUUGCCUCUCCCAUACUCGAGCACCCCAGUUUCCGGCGCACCCUCCCAGUUAAGCCGGGAGAUUUCACACCGAACUUAGAGCACCGCCUACACACUCUUUACGCCCAGUAAUUCCGAACAACGCUCGCUGCCUACGUAUUACCGCGGCUGCUGGCAC